ensembl:lncRNA
UCGGUUUCACUUUGCUUCUUGCUGUACAGACUGCUGCCACACUGGCUGGCUAGGUCGCUCUGUGUCAAAUAUUAGAUUGGAGAGAGAAUCCAGCUGAAGGAUCAGAUCGGCUUCCUAGUGCUCAGGCACACAGUGAUUCUGCACUUUCUGAUCCAGCUUCCUGUGGGCUCCCCGGAGGCGGUCUACAAUCCCUGGGCAUUCUCCCAAGGGUGGGGCAAAAGCUAUAAUGAGCUAACACCACUUUACUGAGCUUUUAAAAGAGCAGCAGCAAAGCUGAGACCAACUGGAGAGAGCCUGAGCAAGCAGUGAAGACCAACCAACAACCUCUCCUGAUGUGGCGGUUGGUAACUCCUCCCAAGACCCAGCCUGGCUCAGCUUUAGGGCUGACAAGAGCAUGAGCAGAAAGCUCAGCUUCCUCAGCAGGCUUGGUAAAUAAAUGUGUUCCCAACCCAUGAAGAAAUGUGAUCCAUAAAGUUCCUGCUAGUCCUUGUCUUGAUGUUAUUGGCCUAGUCAAUGAAACACAAUCCUGAACAAAUUCUGUCUUGUCACCCGUUCCAAAUCUUGUUCUGUCAAAAGCUAUGGCUCCCAUUCCUUAUGUUUGUGUAGGAUAUUGCAGCUCACGAAACAUAUGCACCGUGAAAUGGACUAGAGAGAACUUAUUAUCCUUGUUUUACAGACCAGAAAAGUGAAAAUGCAGAGAGCAGAGAUUACAGGUCCCAAGGAAAAGGAGCCUCGAGAAGCUGUGUGCAGCAUACCUAGUGACAGUCCCACAUCAGGUGCCCUGAGUAGGCAGGUGAUACCCAGAACAGUUCCCCAUUCUACCUGAAAGGAUCUAACUGCUAGGCCUGGGUCUGUAAUCCCAGCCACUCCAGAUGCUGAUGCAGAUCGAGUAUUCAAAACUGGGCUGGACUACAAAUCAAUUCAACGCCAGCCUGAACAACUUGGUGAGAUCCUGUCUCAAAAACAAGCAAAACAUAGCACAAAACGUUAUGGAAUCUGUGACUACUCUCCUUUACUAGUUAUACACAGACAGAAGAACCAAAACACAGCCAGGUACUGAAGAAGUUCCAGGUUCUGGAGAAGACUCCUUCUGUACACAUCCACCCAGAUGUUCUCCAUAGGACUCCACCCAGCUUGGUUCCAUCGGCCUGGUCCCCAGGUCCUGAUGAACGGACAGCAUCCUCGUGCAGUUGCUGCUGGAGCUUCAUUAGUGAUUAAUUAUUUUCACAGCCGCUGUUUUAAACACAUAAGGGACAAAAAUUGCUUUCAUUCCAUUGAAAGUGCGAAGAGGACUAAAAGAAUCGGUAGGCUUGGCCUGGUCUUGGAGUCAAACUUUCCCUUUGAUAUGUUUUCACUUAUUUGAAAAAAAAAAAAAAACAUAGUAACAAAAAAAAAGCAUUAACACAAAAUAAGGAUCAAAACCAUGAAUAAAAGUAAAAUGUGAUGACCCGAAGUUAGCAGAGAUCCUGCUGUCCCUGUAGGACGUGGGCAUCUAGAUGGUUCUAAGCCCAGGUCACUAGCCAUGUUUCUGUUUUGGUAGAAUGAGAGUUCAUAAUGGAAAUGAAAAGAUUUAUGAUACAUGCAUUUUAUUUUCAUCUUACUUUUAUAUUCUUGACAUACCCCAGAUUUUAACCUCUCCAGUGAACUUCGUCAUGGUUGUGUCUAAUAGAUUUUGGUUAUUGUUUUUUGACUCCAGCUCUCAGCCACCUGAGAGAUGUUCUCUGAUGGCCAGUGUCAAUCUUUGCAGCUGCAGUAUCUGAGCUCUCUCUUCCCUCUGAGCGACAUUUACCUGUGCAGCCAUUGCAGCAGCCCACUAAGCCACCAAGUAACAGCAUUUAGGAUUACUCUGCUGUUGUUCUUUUCCCCAAGUAGUAGCAAACCUUGAAUGCCAGAUUUGGAAAACAUAUUUGAAGCUAUAAAAGGAAUUUAAGAGGAAUUUUAGAGGAAUUUAAAUGAGAUAGCUACACCCCAAUGGUCCUCUGCAUAAGUCUGCAUAAAUGGAUGUAGAGUUGACUAAGGAGAGUGCCUAUCAGUCAGACAGCCAUGUCAGUGUCUAUGUCUUUGGAAUGGUGUCUUUAAACAACUGACCACUAUGUAUGCUGGUUUCUUACUGACAUCACCUUUUCAAAGGAACCGGUGUCUGUGUUUUAUAACUGAGAAAUGUAGUUUCAUGGGGCGCGACAUAAUUCAUUGACAGUCUGUCCAAAACUUGUACCUUGAAGCUAUGUUUAUGUUUUUACUAAAUAGUUACUGGAUGGAGUUCAAGAUUUUCAAAAUAAAGGUGUUCCCCUUGAUGGAAAGUAUGUUACAUCCAAAGAGAGUCUUUGGACCACCAAAUACCAGGUAAAACCAGUGCAAUAUUUCUAUUUGACAAGUAAAUUACAGCAAUAGGAAAGGUAUUACAUGAAAGAGAAUGUCAAAAAUUUCCUCACGUCACUUUCCAAUUAGAAAUUCACAAUGAUUUUUUUAUAAUUCAUCAUUGUAUUGCUAAUAAUGUUUGGGAGGUGUGGGCUCUAUAGGAUGCAAUACUGGCUGUGCCACUUGUGGCUUACAUAGAAGAAAACUUCCAUACCCUCUUGUGUUCUGUGACUACAGCUUUCAUAUUACAUAAACAACAGUAACAAAAGACAUUAAAAGAAUAAAAACCUGCAAAAUGUACUUAAUAUUGGCAUUUUAUCAAUACAGGAUUUACAUAAAAAACUAAAGAAGUAUAGACUUCUGGUUUUAUGUAAUAUUUCAUCAAAAGAUGAUAAAGUAUGGAGAACUAAUUAGACAAAUAAAAGGAGCUUUGGGUGUCUAAGGGCAGUGCAUUCUAGGGAAACUAGGUAUAUGAGGAAAACCAAAAG